rnacentral:misc_RNA from 1 species
ACAAACUUGGUCAUUUAGAGGAAGUAAAAGUCGUAACAAGGUUUCCGUAGGUGAGUAAACAUCGGUUUCCAAUGUGCAAUUGAACUUAACGCUAAUGAAUUUACAGGUGAACCUGCGGAAGGAUCAUUACCGAGUUUUCAGGACUUAGUCCUGAACUCCCACCCUAUGUUUACAAAUCUUGUUGCUUCGGCGAGCCGUCGAAAGACGCCGGCCUUGGCUGGAUAGCGCUUGUCGAAGAUCAAUUUAAAUUCUCUAUUUGAAGUCUGAGAAAAUGCAAAUAAAUAAAACUUUCAACAACGGAUCUCUUGGUUCUGGCAUCGAUGAAGAACGCAGC